rnacentral:rRNA from 1 species
GAUGAACGCUGGCGGCGUGCCUAAUACAUGCAAGUCGAGCGAACGGACGAGAAGCUUGCUUCUCUGAUGUUAGCGGCGGACGGGUGAGUAACACGUGGAUAACCUACCUAUAAGACUGGGAUAACUUCGGGAAACCGUAGCUAAUACCGGAUAAUAUUUUGAACCGCAUGGUUCAAAAGUGAAAGACGGUCUUGCUGUCACUUAUAGAUGGAUCCGCGCUGCAUUAUCUAGUUGGUAAGGUAACGGCUUACCAAGGCAACGAUGCAUAGCCGACCUGAGAGGGUGAUCGGCCACACUGGAACUGAGACACGGUCCAGACUCCUACGGGAGGCAGCAGUAGGGAAUCUUCCGCAAUGGGCGAAAGCCUGACGGAGCAACGCCGCGUGAGUGAUGAAGGUCUUCGGAUCGUAAAACUCUGUUAUUAGGGAAGAACAUAUGUGUAAGUAACUGUGCACAUCUUGACGGUACCUAAUCAGAAAGCCACGGCUAACUACGUG